UGAGGGGAUUGAUGAGCUGAGGUCAUGCUGGACCACUAGAACGCAGCAAGAGCAGCUGAGCCCAGUGCUCUUGUCUCUAUUACUUACUGCCUCACAUUUCUUUCUGUUGAUUGUUGCUGUGUGGAAAGUCAGAGUUGGGAGCAGGGGCUAUGAAGUUGGAACUUGUUGGCAUCUGACAGAGCAUCUCAGAUUUCUUAUGUAAAAUGUGGAAUUGUCAACAGUCAGAUGCUUCAAUGGCCAAGACUGUGGUGUGCAGUUUCUAUCAGCGUGUACAGGACAUCCUGCCUGGUUUUGGCCUCAAGCCCAAGGCAGUGUCAGAGCCUGGGAUCUGUCUGGACUUUGCAACCCUGGAAGGCUUUGCUGCAGACCAGAGAGCUGCCAGGAGGCCUCAGAAAUGCCUGAGAACAAAGAGGCGGUAAACACACACGCUGAAACCUUUUACCAACUGGCUGUGGCCCAAACCAAAAUGAGAAAUGAAUUGCUGAGAGCUGCCAUUGAUGGACACAGAGGGUGUUAAAACCCAGAGCACAUAAGCCAGGAUGAGAAAAUUAAUCAGAAGAUAAAAGACAGCGGGCUUUGGGGACCCUGGCCGAGCCCUCCUGCAUGCUCCUGGGACAUCCUUUCAGACCAGCAGCACCAUCCCAUGCAGGGGCUGUGACAGAUGACUUAUAAUGUAGACAUCACCUCUGCUGGUGGACAGCCUUCGGAUUUGCUGAGUCCUUUCAUAACAAAUAAAACCAAA